UACGUAGGGGGCAAGCGUUGUCCGGAUUUAUUGGGCGUAAAGCGCGUGUAGGCGGCCAGGUAGGUCCGCUGUGAAAACCCGAGGCUCAACCUCGGGACGUCGGCGGAAACCAUCUGGCUAGAGUCCGGAAGAGGAGAGUGGAAUUCCAGGUGUAGCGGUGAAAUGCGUAGAUAUCUGGAGGAACACCGGUGGCGAAGGCGGCAUCCUGGACCGGCAUUGACGCUGAGGCGCGAAAGCCAGGGGAGCAAAGCGGG
rnacentral:rRNA from 1 species